rnacentral:rRNA from 1 species
AUUGAACGCUGGCGGCAGGCUUAACACAUGCAAGUCGAGCGGAGAUGAGGUGCUUGCACCUUAUCUUAGCGGCGGACGGGUGAGUAAUGCUUAGGAAUCUGCCUAUUAGUGGGGGACAACAUUCCGAAAGGAAUGCUAAUACCGCAUACGUCCUACGGGAGAAAGCAGGGGAUCUUCGGAAUUUGCGCUAAUAGAUGAGCCUAAGUCGGAUUAGCUAGUUGGUGGGGUAAAGGCCUACCAAGGCGACGAUCUGUAGCGGGUCUGAGAGGAUGAUCCACCAGACUGAGGCUGAGACACGGCCCAGACUCCUACGGGAGGCAGCGGUGGGGAAUAUUGGACAAUGGGGGGAACCCUGAGCCAGCCAUGCCGCGUGUGUGAAGAAGGCCUUAUGGUUGUAAAGCACUUUAAGCGAGGAGGAGGCUACUGAGACUAAUACUCUUGGAUAGUGGACGUUACUCGCAGAAUAAGCACCGGCUAACUCUGUGCCAGCCGCCGCCGUAAGAC